rnacentral:lncRNA from 1 species
GCGUGUGUUUAUGUGUCAUUAGCGUGUGGGUCCGUGGCCCCGGUGUCUCAGGUGUGCUCAGAGCUCUCUCACGUGUUCGUUGUGUGUUCGACGUGCACACGUGAGCUCCAGGUGUGGGUCGUGUCCUUGGCUCACCCUCAGCGUGUCCAGGUGUGUUUCACCUCCACCAGGUGUGUUCCCUGUCCAGGUGUUUCCAUGUCCAGGUGUGUUCCAUGUCCAGGUGUGUUCCCUGUCCAGGUGUUUUAGGCAUGGUUUUGGUGUGUUUUUUGUGUGUUUUAGGCAUGAUUUUGGUGUGUUACUUGUGUGUUUUUGGACAUGGUUUUGGUGUGUUUUUUGUGUGUUUUAGGCAUGGUUUUGCCGUGUUCUUGCCGUGGUUUUUGUGCAUUCCUGCCGUGUUUUUUGCAUGUUUCUGCCAUGUUUUUUGCAUGAUUUUGCCGUGUCCCUGCUGUGUUCCUGCCCUGUUUUUGCCAUGGUUUUUAACAUGUUUCUGCCAUGUUUUUGGUGUGUCUUUGCAUGGUUUUGUCCGUGUUUUUCCUGUGUUCCUACCCCGUUCCUGCCCUGGUUUUGCCUUGUUUUUGCAUGUUUUUGUCCAUGUUUUUGCCGUGUUCCUGCCAUGUUCCCGCCGUGUUUUUCCCCUGUUUUUGGUGUGGUUUUGCCAUGUUCCUGCAGUGUUUUUGUCCAUGUUUUUGCCGUGUUCCUGCCCUGUUUUCGCCAUGUAUUUUGUGUAUUUUUGGUGUGUUCCUGCCGUGGUUUUUUGCAUGUUUUUAUCCAUGUUCUUGCCAUGUUCCUGCCAUGUUUUUGCUGCGGUUUUGGUGUGUUUUUGCCCUGGUCCUGCUGUGUUUUUGCCGUAUUUUUGUCCAUGUUUUUGCCGUGUUCCUGCCCUGUUUUUGUCCAUGUUUGUGCUAUGUCCUUGCUGUGGUUUUGCUGUGGUUUAGGUGUUUUUGCCAUGUUCCUGCUGUGGUUUUGCCAUGGUUUUGGUGUGUUUUUGUGUGUUCCUGCCCUGUUUUGUCCAUGUUUGUGCCAUGUCCCUGCCGUGUCCCUGCCAUGUUUUUGCCGUGUUCCUGCCCUGUUUGUGUCUGUGUUUGUGCCAUGUCCCUGCCGUGUUUGUGCCGUGUUUGUGCCGUGUCCCUGCCGUGUCUGUGCCGUGUCCCUGCCAUGUUUUUGCCACGUCCCUGCCGUGUCUGUGCCGUGUCCCUUCCGUGUUUUUGCCGUGUCCCUGCCAUGUUUUUGCUGUGUUCCUGCCGUGUUCCUGCCCUGUUUGUGUCUGUGUUUUUGCUGUGUCCCUGCCGUGUUUGUGCCAUGUCCCUGCUGUGUUCCUGCCGUGUUCCUGACGUGUUCCUGCCCUGGUUUUGUCCAUGUUUUUGCCGUGUCCCUGCUGUGUUCCUGCCGUGUUCCUUCCCUGUUUGUGCCGUGUUUUUGCCGUGUCCCUGCCGUGUUUGUGCCGUGUUCCUUCCCUGUUUGUGCCGUGUUUUUGCCAUGUCCCUGCCAUGUUUGUGCCGUGUCCCUGCCGUGUUUGUGCCGUGUUCCUUCCCUGUUUGUGCCGUGUUUUUGCCAUGUCCCUGCUGUGUUCCUGCCAUGUCCUUCCCUGUUUGUGUCCGUGUCUGUGCCGUGUCCCUGCCGUGUCUGUGCCGUGUCCCUGCCGUGUUCCCGUGCCGUGUCCCGGUGCCGGUGCCGUGCCCGGCCGUUCCCUCGGGCGGCUCCGCCGGCGGCUGCAAAGCAAAGCUGGGGGAGGGGCCGGGGGGUUCCGGGGGUCCCGCGACGGCGCCUGGGGAGAGACGGGGUCACCCCAACCCCCCCGGGACCCCCGGGGCAGCCCGGGGCUCACGGCGCCGGGACG